rnacentral:rRNA from 1 species
GACGUAGGGGGCCAGCGUUGUUCGGAAUUACUGGGCGUAAAGGGCUCGUAGGCGGCCAACUAAGUCAGACGUGAAAUCCCUCGGCUUAACCGGGGAACUGCGUCUGAUACUGGAUGGCUUGAAUCCGGGAGAGGGAUGCGGAAUUCCAGGUGUAGCGGUGAAAUGCGUAGAUAUCUGGAGGAACACCGGUGGCGAAGGCGACAUCCUGGACCGGUAUUGACGCUGAGUGAGCGAAAAGCCAGGGGAGCAAACGGG